AGGAAGUGCAUGGACCACACGUGUGUGAUGGAGGACAGCUUUCUGGACUCAAACUCAGGAUAUAGGUUUGUGGGCAAGAGAGUCAACCCGCUGGAUUCUACAUUAGAAGCAAACACACCAAGAAAAAAAACCCACAGGCACACCACCCAGUGACUCAGAGGACUGUUAUGAAGAUGGUGUGAGCUGGAGCACUGUCGUGCCACGCCCACACUCACCACUGAGGAGCCAGGUUCACACUCACCCCCACCCCAGUCCCCCAGGUAAGGAACCUACCCAAGGAGCCAUUGUGACGUCUGCCUCCCUUGGGCCUCAGCUUUUCUCUUUCUCAGUUGUUCUCUGUUU